rnacentral:rRNA from 1 species
GUAAGGAAUAUUGGACAAUGCCCGCAAGGGUGAUCCAGCCAUGCCGCGUGCAGGAAGACGGACCUAUGGUUUGUAAACUGCUUUUGAACCAGAGAAAACCCCCUUACGUGUAAGGGGCUGAUAGUAUGGUUAGAAUAAGGAUCGGCUAACUUCGUGCCAGCAGCCGCGGUAAGACGAAGGAUCCAAGCGUUAUCCGGAUUCAUUGGGUUUAAAGGGUGCGUAGGCGGCCCGGUAAGUCAGUGGUGAAAGCCUGUUGCUCAACAACAGAACUGCCAUUGAUACUGCCAGGCUUGAGUACAGAUGCUGUGGGCGGAAUAUGACAUGUAGUGGUGAAAUACAUAGAGAUGUCAUAGAACACCGAUUGCGAAGGCAGCUCACAAAACUGUAACUGACGCUGAGGCACGAAAGUGCGGGGAUCAAACAGGAUUAGAAACCCCAGUAGUCC